UGCAGGGCCAGAUAGUGAAGUUACAACUGCUGGUCCAAAUAGCGAAAUUACAACUGCUGGCCCAGAUGGUGAAAUAACUACUGCUGGUCCAGAUGGAGAAAUUACAACUGCAGGACCAGAUGGCGAAAUUACAACUGCAGGACCAGAUGGCGAAAUUACAACCGCAGGACCAGAU